rnacentral:rRNA from 1 species
CUACGGGCCGCUGCAGUCGAGAAUAGUCUACAAUGGACGAAAGUCUGAUAGUGCGACGCCGCGUGGAUGAAGAAGCAUUUCGGUGUGUAAAGUCCUUUUCUGUGUGAGCAAUGUUUUCCAGGUUAAUAGCUUGGAGAAAGCGAUAUUAACACAGGAAUAAGCUCCGGCUAACUCCGUGCCAGCAGCCGCGGUAACACGGGGGGAGCAAGCGUUGUCCGGAAUUACUAGGCGUAAAGGGUAAGUAGGCGGAAUUGUAAGUCAGAUGUUAAAGGCACCGGCUCAACCGGUGUAUGGCAUUUGAUACUGUAAUUCUAGAGUAAGGUGGGGGAAGACGGAAUUCCUGGUGUAGCGGUGGAAUGCGCAGAUAUCAGGAGGAACACCAGAGGCGCAGGCGGUCUUCUAUACCAUUACUGACGCUCAAUUACGAAGGUGUGGGUAUCAAACAGGAUUAGAUACCCUGGUAGUC